rnacentral:rRNA from 1 species
CCUACGGGAGGCAGCAGUGAGGAAUAUUGGUCAAUGGGCGCAAGCCUGAACCAGCCAUCCCGCGUGCAGGAUGACGGCCCUAUGGGUUGUAAACUGCUUUUAUACACCAAGAAAAACCCCCACGUGUGGGGACUCGACGGUAGUGUAUGAAUAAGCAUCGGCUAACUCCGUGCCAGCAGCCGCGGUAAUACGGAGGAUGCAAGCGUUAUCCGGAUUCAUUGGGUUUAAAGGGUGCGUAGGCGGCUUUUUAAGUCAGUGGUGAAAUCCUGCCGCUUAACGGUAGAAUUGCCAUUGAUACUGAAAAGCUUGAGUACAUUUGAGGUAAGCGGAAUGUGUAGUGUAGCGGUGAAAUGCUUAGAUAUUACACAGAACACCAAUUGCGAAGGCAGCUUACUAAACUGAUACUGACGCUGAUGCACGAAAGCGUGGGGAGCGAACAGGAUUAGAUACCCUGGUAGUCCACGCCGUAAACGAUGCUCACUCGCUGUUUGCGAUACACAGCAAGCGGCCAAGCGAAAGCAUUAAGUGAGCCACCUGGGGAGUACGAUCGCAAGGUUGAAACUCAAAGGAAUUGACGG